rnacentral:lncRNA from 1 species
GCCUUCCAAGAUCCCCCAGUGGAUAUGUGAAAACACAGAGAGUAGCACGUUGUGACAUAACACCGCAGUUGACCAUGGGUAACUGAAACUGUGGAAAGCAAAACCAUGGGUGAGAGAGAGCUUACUGUACCGUGUACCUGUGACAUCAUCACCAAAAUCAAAUAAUGAACCAUCUGUCGCCCUGCAAGUUUCCUCAUAACCCUUGAUAAUCCAUUGCUCUCCCAGUCCCUAGGCAACCAGUGCUCUGCUUUCUGUCACUGUAGUUUGUAUUUCUAAAAUUUUUUAUAAAUGAAAUCAUGCAGUAUGCCCCCUUUUUAAAACCUGGCUUUAUUCAGCAUGGUUUUUGAGAUUCAUCCAUGUGUUAAUAGUUGGGUUUUUUAAUUUUCUGAGUAGUAUUCCAUUG